UUCAGCCAACUUCUUCUCUCUAUAUAUAUCCUUAUAUAAAGCACAUAUAACAUAGUUAGCAUAGUGUUCAGCUCUGAAGCUGCCAGCUGCUAAUAAAAUAGUCCUGGACUUGUCUAAGGACAUACAGCUAUUCACUAGCAUAGAAUUAAAGCCCUCUGACCCCCUUCUCUUAAUCAGAAAGCAGUAUGGGGCAGAAGGGAAGGCAGGUUUGUACAAAGUAUUUAUUCCAGAAACAAUAGUAGUAGCUACCUCUUAGAAUUGCUGUGAAGUUUAAACAAGUUAAUAUUUCUAAUCCUGCUUAGAACUGUGUGUGGCACAUGUAAAGUGCCCAAUAAAUCUUAAAUCAUUAUACCACUAAUCCACACUAAAAAAGACAUUGCAAGCCGGACGCCAUGGCUCACUCCUAUAAUCCCUGCACUUUGGGAGGCUGAGGCUGGUGGAUCACUUAAGGUCAAGAGUUCGAGACCAGCCAGGCCAACACGGUGAAACUCUGUCUUU
rnacentral:lncRNA from 10 species